GGUGCUGUGGCUUAGUUGGUUAAAGCACCUGUCUAACAAACAGAAUCCUGGGUUCGAAUCCCAGCAGUGCCU